AGAGUUUGAUCCUGGCUCAGGAUGAACGCUGGCGGCGUGCCUAACACAUGCAAGUCGAACGGACUUACAUUGAAGCCUAGCGAUAUGUAAGUUAGUGGCGGACGGGUGAGUAACGCGUGGGUAACCUGCCUUGUACUGGGGGACAACAGUUGGAAACGACUGCUAAUACCGCAUAAGCGCACAGCUUCGCAUGAAGCAGUGUGAAAAACUCCGGUGGUACAAGAUGGACCCGCGUCUGAUUAGCUGGUUGGUGAGGUAACGGCCACCAAGGCGACGAUCAGUAGGGGUUCUGAGAGGAAGGUCCCCCANAUUGGAACUGAGACACGGUCCAAACUCCUACGGGAGGCA
rnacentral:rRNA from 1 species